UAUCUCUGUAGAGUCUGCAUAUCAAUAAGCGGAGGAAAAGAAACUAACAAGGAUUCCCUUAGUAACGGCGAGUGAAGCGGGAAGAGCUCAAAUUUGAAAUCUUCAAGGUUUUACCUUGACGAAUUGUAGUUUAAAGAAGUGUUUUCUGUUGAAGUUUCGGUAAAAGUUCUUUGGAAUAGGACAUCAUAGAGGGUGAGAAUCCCGUAUUUGACCGUUAUUUUCAGCUGUGUGAUACACUUUCAAAGAGUCGGAUUGUUUGGGAAUGCAGUCCAAAAUGGGUGGUAAAUUUCAUCUAAAGCUAAAUAUUGGCGAGAGACCGAUAGCGAACAAGUACCGUGAGGGAAAGAUGAAAAGAACUUUGAAAAGAGAGUUAAACAGUACGUGAAAUUGUCAAAAGGGAAGCGUUUGACACCAGUGUUGUUUUCUCGAAAAUCAAUUAAAAAUGGCUUGAUUUUGUGUUGUAUUGACCUUAAAAGCUUUCUUCACUUUUUUCAUGUCUUUUUUAAUGCACUUUUCGUUUAGCAAGUCAGCAUCAGUUUCUUUUGUUGUAAAAAGGUCAUUGGAAGGUGGCUUUCUUUUCGGAGAAAGUGUUCUAUAGCCUUUGACUUCCUGCAAUCGGAGAGACUUGAGGUCUGCAGCGUAGAUCCUUCUGGAUUAGAUACAUUUGUGCUAAGUUAUAGUUUUUCAUAGACAACAUGUUGACUAUAUUUAGUCAUGUAAGCUUACUCGCUUAUGCUAAUUUUACCUACGCUUAGGAUGUUGAACGCGCACAGAGUCUC
rnacentral:rRNA from 1 species